GUCAGGGAUGUUUGGGCAAACCUCUCACCGUGGCGUUGGAGUGCAGUCCAGCUCUGUCACUAAUGCUUAACCUUCCUAUGGGCUCAGUUUUCUCACUUGUAAAAAGGGGUCCCUAAUACUUGCGCACCUUACAGGAAGUAACAUAAGCCAGGGUAUUUGUGAGUGCGUUUUGGAAAGCAUAAAGCCCUCUUGCAAAUGUGAGAUGUUAUUAUUGCUUCCCUUACCCUGGCUCUAGUUCCAGCCCGGGGCCUGCCCACAGAAACCAGCUGUUCCUGUUUCCUCUGUGUCCCGCGGUAGCACCGAGGAGGCUGGUGCACUGGGCUCCGUGGUUCCCGCCCGGGCCCGCCGCAGCCGGCUCUGAGGAAGCGGCUCUGAGGAAGCAGCGCACCGCCAGCCUCGUCCUCGCGCCGGCGACCCUGGGGCGGGUCACCUCGCCGGGUCGAGGCCUCCCGGGCAGGCCUGGCGGAGGGAGGAGCGAGGCCUGCCUGCGGGAGACCCGGGGAGGCGCGUCAUGUGCAAAAGGACACUGUGAUGGAGUUUAUUACACAUAACAGCAAAUUCCAAAGCAGGAGUGGCAGCAGAAAACAAUGAAGGCAAAGGAAGUAAGCCCGGGAAGAGAAAGCAGUUUUUGGACAACAGUUCCUUCACCUCAGCAUUUUUCAUGGAUUUCAAAUAAGUGCUCAAGCUGCUGUACCUGUUGCCCCCAGAUUUAGGGAGUGAUGGAGAGAAC
rnacentral:lncRNA from 1 species